rnacentral:misc_RNA from 1 species
CUUGUGUUGAAAUGGAAGCUUGCUUGACCAGAUGCUCUAAUGGAAAUGCGUUUCGAAGAGCUCUAAAACCUCUCAAUUUAAAAACCUCAAAUCCUUCGUUUCGCUGCUCUUCCAUGCCCUGGAGGAACAAAGUCCCUUAUAAAGGCAUAUGAUGCUUUAUUGUUGGACGCUGGAGGAACCCUUUUGCAAUUGGCAAAGCCUGUCGAGGAAACCUAUGCUUCUAUUGGGAGCAAAUAUGGUCUGACUGCAAGUUCAGUGGAA